AGCGUCCGCGCUGCCCAAUGGCGAGGCGGGACGCUGCGCGGAGCUGCGUGCGGCCUGCGGGGCCCGGCCGGGACGGGACGGGUCGGGCUGAGACGGGCCCUGCCCCUGCGGAGUCCUGUAAGGAGCUGACAGCUUUUUUAGUUCUGCACCCCGCCUUUGACAUUGCUUCUUCGCAGAAGAACUGGUUCAGGCUUGUACCAAAUUUGCAUCCCUCUUCCAACCCGAACGUCUUCUUGGGAUGGCUGCCUCCAGCUGGGAGUCUGCAGAUCCCCUUCUGCUUUGCUAACAAAACGUGGUCAAGUGCUCUGUGUGAUCAGACCUUCAUCACUACGCCAGCUGCAUCCCCAGCUAUCAGUCCGUAGACUUUCCUAGCUUCCUGUACUUGGGGUACAGGGCUAUAAGAUCUCAAAAGUACCCCUGGAUUCUUUGAGUUUGCAUCCUCAAAAUGUAAAAUUGAAUGGAGCCUUGCAGUUCCUGUCCCAUUGCGCAGGUACGUCUCCUGAUUAGAUCAGUGAAAGGCAAUAUAAUGUCCCCUGCUGAGGUUUUUUGUCUGUGCUUUUUAAAGUUGUGUUACUAAGUGUUCUGAACAAUUAAGAAAAUUGAAAAUCUUCUCAUGAAGUUAGCAACCUUCAUAUUGGGUAGCCCUAUCUAAUACCUCAUUGGUAACUUUCUGUUUUCUCCAGACACUUGAUAGCCCCUUCUUUGAGUGUCGAUCACCUGAUACUAAGAGUGUUGAAUUCCUUCCAGGCCCAAGUUUCCAGCCUGUUUCUUUGGUUUCUCCUUUCUCCAGUUUGCUAAUGACAGAUUCUCCUUCUUGUACUAUCUGUAGCAAUAUUUCUAGAACUGUUUUUUCUGGAAUGUUUUGAUGAAAGGAUUGCUGAAACAGGUUCAGGUCACCACUGUCUUCACUGUAGCCACAAACUUGUACUUGAGGAUACUAGAAAUGUUGUCCAAGUGCAGGAAAUACUUAAAGCAGGUCAUAAUAAUUGUUCUGUAAUCCUCUCUAUCUGCCAGCUGGUUUAGGUGUGUUCCUACAGCAAGAAAAGAGCAAUGCUAUCUAAGCUUCCUUCUAAUUUCUCAGCUUAAUAGCAAUUAACUCCUGUGCAGAGGUCACCGCUCAGCUCCACCCCUCCUGUAAGGAUGGGGUCUCGGUUCCACCUCUCCAGUAACUGCCUUUCUUCAGACCUUCUGGCAAUCCACGCAGAACAGAGACACUGAAAAGUCAAGUACAAAAAUACCAAACUUCUUUUUUUUUUUUUUUUUUCUAGUUCAGCUCAAGGAAGUGGCCCGGGUUGGGGUCACCCAAGUGCCAGAGGGAGGAGAUGCGCUUACAGCAACCCCAGCUUUGCUUAGUUUAGGCUUGGCUGGAUCUAUUCAGUAAGAGAAAACCCGCUGGUUUGCUCGAAAUCUAAUCUGUCCAAACUUCAGACCCAGCCUGAAGAAAACAGUAGGUCAGUUAACUGUGUGUCAAGAGGCAGGUCGCAGUUGCGGCGUGGUGUUAGGGGUGCACAGAGCCGUUAUCCCCCAGCGGCUUAUCCUAACCAGCUGAGCCAGCAGUGGCUGCUUCCUGCAUCUGGUUCCGAUGUUUGAGUACAAGCCCGGUUCAGUGUGCUAAUUUGGGGGAAAAAAUCCGAACUCGGUUAAAAAGAAAACGCUGCUAACAGUUUUCUGCAUGUUCAGAGAGCUGAGUAGGCGUCAUGGUGUGACGUGAGGCAUCAACAACCCUGUGGAGGAGGCAGGAGGCAGGGCUGGUCCGGCCCCUCUGGCAGCCCGUGACGGUCGGGUGCUGCAAGCGAGCUGCUCUUCUGAAGUAGCCUAAAGGCUUUGUCCUCUGGAACCAGUCGAAGUCCAGGUUCUUAUUCAAGUGGAACUAGAGCAGUGGUGUUCUAGAAUUAAUUUUUAUCAAGCUUGCAAAAAAAAAAAAUCUCAGAUGUUUACAAUAGUUAAGACCCCUGUUUUAGCACUGUGUCACUGCCAUGCAAUUGCCCAUCUUUGUAGCAUCCGUUAUGAAGGUCAUAAUUCUUCCUGCUUUAAAGCUGGUACUUUAGACCUGCAGCAGAAUCCUUCUGGCAGACACGAUGGUCGAUGUCUUUCAUUUAGGCAUAUAAAAGCUUUUAUGACUGUAAUGGCAGCUAGAUACUUGUGUCUGUUUUUCUUCUGUCAUGACUACACUGAAACUUAAAUAUGCUACCAAGCCACUAAGUUGAUUUGGCUGAAGCAGAGUCAGUCGAUGUCUGCAUACUUCAGAUACUUGCCAAAAAAGCAAAUGUUAUCCUUAACUUUUAGUAUUUUAGGGCUGCUGUUGAACAGUAAGUAGUAGUUAGCAGAGCUUUCUGGCUCAAUUUCAGACCGGGUCACUUCAGCUGUAGAUAUUAGGAUCUUUCAGAUACUUUUUUACUUGUCCUUGUUAACUGGCUUGUAUUUUAGUGUGGUUAUUUAUUAUGGACAGGGAAGUGCUAGCUUUAUUUUCAAGGGUUAACUACAAGUGCCUUGGUACUGGAGGAAAAUAGAUCUGAACGUAUUCUCAGAACACAAAAAUGCCUAAAUGACUUGGACAGCUAGUCUGGGUUCAGAGCGUCGCUUGUUUCAAACGGAGAGGGUGUUGCUGACCACGGGAAGACUUCCUCUCAAAGCUGUUUAAAUGAGAAUGUCCCUGGCGCAAAGAGUACUACUGACAUGGCUUUUUACGUUGCUCUUCCUGAUCAUGCUGGUGCUGAAGUUGGAUGAGAAGGCUCCGUGGAACUGGUUCCUCAUUUUCAUUCCAGUCUGGAUAUUUGAUACUAUUCUCCUCGUUAUGUUAAUUGUAAAAAUGGCUGGACGGUGCAAGUCUGGCUUUGACCCACGCAACGGCUCGCAGAACAUCAAGAAAAAAGCCUGGUACCUCAUCGCAAUGCUGCUCAAGUUAGCCUUCUGCCUUGCCCUCUGCGCUAAACUGCAGCAAUUCACCACGAUGAAACUAGCCUAUGUAUUUAUCCCCUUGUGGGCCUUGCUUAUCGGGGGUAUGGUUGAACUUGGAUAUAAUAUCUUCUAUGUACGAAGAGACUAAGCUGUGUGGGGUAUUCAAGUCUGAGACUGGUACCGAACUGCUGGAUUAUUAGUUUUGCCACAAAUGUGAUCUCUAGAACACCACAUAAGAAAAUGCUCUGGAGACUUCAUCUAAACGAGGCUGGAGACCAAAAGUAGACUUGUUCCAUUUUUUAUUUUAAAAUGGUCAUACAUGCUCUUGUAAAUAAAAGUAUUUGUUCAACAUUA